GACGAACCGUGCGAACGUUGUUCGGAAUCACUGGGCUUAAAGGGCGCGUAGGCGGGCUGCCAAGUCAGGGGUGAAAUCUGCGGCUCAACCGUAGAAGUGCCUUUGAUACUGGCGGCCUGGAGGGAGGUAGGGCGUGCGGAACUUCCGGUGGAGCGGUGAAAUGCGUAGAUAUUAGGAAGAACACCGGUGGCGAAGGCGGCCAUCUGGCUCGGUACUGACGCUCAGGUUCGAAAGCGUGGGGAGCAAACAGG
rnacentral:rRNA from 1 species